AGUGGGGAAUAUUGCACAAUGGAGGGAACUCUGAUGCAGCGACGCCGCGUGAGCGAUGAAGGAAUUCGUUUCGUAAAGCUCUGUUCUAUGGGAAGAAAAGGACUGUACCAUAGGAGAAAGCCCCGGCUAAAUACGUGCCAGCAGNCGCGGUAAUACGUAUGGGGCGAGCGUUGUCCGGAAUUAUUGGGCGUAAAGGGUACGCAGGCGGUUUACCAAGUUGGAUGUGAAAUCUUGUAGCUCAACUACAAACGUGCAUCCAAAACUGGCUAACUUGAGUUAAGGAGAGGUAAGUGGAAUUCCUGGUGUAGCGGUGGAAUGCGUAGAUAUCAGGAGGAAUACCGGUGGCGAAGGCGACUUACUGGACUUAUACUGACGCUGAGGUACGAAAGCGUGGGGAGCAAA
rnacentral:rRNA from 1 species